rnacentral:rRNA from 1 species
GACGAACGCUGGCGGCGUGCUUAACACAUGCAAGUCGAACGGAAAGGCCCUGCUUUUGUGGGGUGCUCGAGUGGCGAACGGGUGAGUAACACGUGAGUAACCUGCCCUUGACUUUGGGAUAACUUCAGGAAACUGGGGCUAAUACCGGAUAGGAGCUCCUGCAGCAUGGUGGGGGUUGGAAAGUUUCGGGGGUUGGGGAUGGACUCGCGGCUUAUCAGCUUGUUGGUGGGGUAGUGGCUUACCAAGGAUUGGACGGGUAGCCGGCCUGAAAGGGAGACCGGCCACAGAGGCAUAGGGAAGCGACCAGUACGCAAUAGGGGGCCAUGGGCGGAAAAUUGACGCAGCGGGGCGGAGUGAGUGAGGAAGGUCGCCGGAUGGGGGAAGACUGCUUUGGGGUAAGAACCCCUUUGCGCGUGUAACGAGGCGUGUUGACCGGAAAUGGGAAAAAAGCCACGGGCAAACUCGUG